UAUUGUGAUGAAGUGCACACUGACCUGAGCUCCAGGGGUCUUUUUCUUCUCCUCCAUGCUGCUCUCAGUGCUCCUUCUCCGGCUGUGUCUCUGAAAUAAUCAACACAACUACAGCUGACACAAAACAAGAUAACUCAAUACAAGCGACAGACACAACAAAACAAAUCUACAGCAAUGUCUUAGGUUCACACACGUUACCUCUCUCUCUCCUCUUCGUCCUGGUUCUUCAGUCUUUCUUCUCCUUGAUAAAACACUGCCGUUAAACACACUAAUCUCCCUUUAAUGCCUUUACUUAGGCCUAUGUUUACCGAUUAGCAACGUGGUAUAAAAAGCUACGAACAAAGAACGGGAGGCAACCAACACACAGUUUAACGGAUGAAAGCACAGAUAAAUCACUCUACAAGGAUAAACUAACUCUUUGUAUGUGUUUUAAAAGUCUCUUAAACACAUUACAUUAGGUAUAAAACCGGCAUCAACGUCUGUUAGCAACGUGUAGCUUCUGAGGACCGGGACCAUGGAUGUUUAAUACGAACUGGAUACAGCGUCGGAGGCAUCGUUCUUUCCUUCUCAUUGGCUCAUGAGGACAAAAUGGCCGGACAUUCUCGAGAGCAAAAAGUCACAGGCCGUUUCGCCGUGUCUCAAUUCAGGGGCUGCACCCUUCGGAGUACGCAGCCUACGUGGUCCACGGAGGACCCAGCCAACGUAGACCGGGACACAAAUCACACCAUAUAGACCGAGCGGCCUACGAAAUGAGACGGUCUAACCCACGGAGCGCUUCGUAUUUACGUCACGUGAUACGCGCUGUUCGGUUGCGCUGCUCCAGCAGCUUGCUAGCAAAUUAGCUUACAAGCUAACUCAGCUGAUUUUUUGGAGAUCACCGUCGGCGAUGAAAUAAAGAGGACCAUUGCCAGAUGAUGUCCCACUGACACCAGGUCCAGCACCGUGACCCCCCCGCUCUGCUGAAAUACACAAUAAAACGUUUUCUAUGACCUAUUUUUUGUAUUAAUACAAUUAAAGUGUAAUGACCUAGAGAUAUCCUAUUAUUCCACUGCUUAUGUACACAUGUUGUAAAUAAUGGUUAAAACCUCAGUAAAGGAAAUAAACAAUGUGUUUUAACAAUUACUAUUUUAAUUUAAUAUUCUAUUUUCAUCUUAUCACAAAGUAGAGGUAAGAAUAUAUCCAUCCUCUCUCUGCAGCUCCAUGUCUUCUAUUAUUAUAACUUUUAUCAUUGAGACAGAGGAAAUCAAUCAUGUUAUUUAACAUCACCAGCAGUAAAACAAAUAUCAGCAAAAGUGUGUUUAUGGAGUUGUUUAUUCAUUCAUACAUUCAAGGAGAGAGAGAGACACAACACAGAUUCAAUGGUAAACAUGAUGUAUCUUUCUAUUUAUUUAGCUAACCACUAUUUAGACUGUGUUUUGAAUUGACUUGAUUGAAUGGAUUUACUACAUCAAUAUAAGUCUUUUCAGGCUGCCAUGUGUUGUCCUUUCUGUGGCCAACAUCUGUUCAAGUGUUCUGUGGCUCCUGUGGCAAAAAUGUACAGUUUUUGGCAGAAGUUGAACACAACAGCAUUCCAUAAGGAGGGUCAGGAACUCACGCUUGGGACCACCAGUGUCCACUCCAUCCUCAGUUUGUCCCUCAUCAUCAGUGAACUUAACUGACGUCUCAUGAGAGGAGUCG